AUACGUAGGGAGCGAGCGUUGUCCGGAAUUACUGGGUGUAAAGGGAGCGUAGGCGGGCAUGCAAGUCAGAUGUGAAAUACCUGGGCUCAACCCAUGGGCUGCAUUUGAAACUGCAUUUCUUGAGUGAAGGAGAGGUAAGCGGAAUUCCUGGUGUAGCGGUGAAAUGCGUAGAUAUCAGGAGGAACACCGGUGGCGAAGGCGGCUUACUGGGCUUUUACUGACGCUGAGGCUCGAAAGCGUGGGGAGCAAACAGGAUUAGAUACCCUGGUAGUCCACGCUGUAAACGAUGAUUACUAGGUGUGGGGGGACUGACCCCUUCCGUGCCGCAGUUAACACAAUAAGUAAUCCACCUGGGGAGUACGGCCGCAAGGUUGAAACUCAAAUGAAUUGACGGGG
rnacentral:rRNA from 1 species